rnacentral:lncRNA from 1 species
GUCGAGAGUAGGACCUCUAGCCUAAGCAGGUGCGAACGAAUGAACCCAGAUCUGCUUUAGAGUCUUGCUUUCCUUGCUGGCUAUGAAGAAGCAAACCACCACAGGUUCCAGAGCUGCAAAUAUCUGAAUUCUACCAAUAACCAGGGCUCCUCGCCCAGUGUGGAGCACAACACGGGUCCUGAACUCACCGCUCUGAGAUCAAGAGCUGAGCUGAGAUCAAGAGCCAGCUGCCGAACUGACUGAACCACUUGGGCGCCUGCUGAAUUGUUCGUACUUUAAGAUGGCGAAUUUUAUGCGAAUUUCACCUCAAUUAAAAAACAGGUUUUUGUGGGUUUUUUUGUUUUGUUUUGUUUUGUUUUAAGAUGAAAAAAGCUUGUCUUGAAUUCUCCACGGCAUCUACCCCAGUAACGGAGCACGCUGGCUUUGGCUAGGUGCUUGAUAAAUAUUUAUGAAAUUGAACGAUAGAAAAUAUUCAUGCCCUGCAAGUAAAU